AUUGAACGCUGGCGGCAGGCCUAACACAUGCAAGUCGAGCGAGCGGCGGACGGGUGAGUAAUGUCUGGGAAACUGCCUGAUGGAGGGGGGUAACUACUGGAAACGGUAGCUAAUACCGCAUACCAUCAGAUGUGCCCAGAUGGGGUUAGCUAGUAGGUGGGGUAACGGCUCACCUAGGCGAGGAUCCCUAGCUGGUCUGAGAGGAUGACCAGCCAAACUGGAACGGAGACAGGUUCCAGACUCCUCCGGGAGGAAGCAGUGGGGAAUAUUGCACAAUGGGCGCAAGCCUGAUGCAGCCAUGCCGCGGGUGGGAAGAAGGCCUUCGGGUUGUAAAGCACUUUCAGCGGGGAGGCGUUACCCGCAGAAGAAGCACCGGCUAACUCCGUGCCAGCAGCCGCGGUAAUUC
rnacentral:rRNA from 1 species